rnacentral:sRNA from 1 species
CCCUCGACUUCUCCUGCCCGUUGGGCCG